UACGAAGGGGGCUAGCGUUGCUCGGAAUCACUGGGCGUAAAGCGCACGUAGGCGGCUUUCUAAGUCAGGGGUGAAAUCCUGGAGCUCAACUCCAGAACUGCCUUUGAUACUGGGGAGCUCGAGUCCGGAAGAGGUGAGUGGAACUCCGAGUGUAGAGGUGAAAUUCGUAGAUAUUCGGAAGAACACCAGUGGCGAAGGCGGCUCACUGGCCCGAUACUGACGCUGAGGCACGAAAGCGUGGGGAGCAAACAGG
rnacentral:rRNA from 1 species